rfam:Helobdella robusta unplaced genomic scaffold HELROscaffold_95, whole genome shotgun sequence.
GGCCUUGUGGCCUAAUGGAUAAGGCGUUGGCCUCCGGAGCCAAAGAUUGUGGGUUCGAGUCCCACCAAGGUCG